GGGUCUAACAGUGACUGUGUUUAGGGUGUGGUGGACAAGGACGCCUCUGCCACAGCACCUGCAUCUUCAUCUCUGCCAUGUAUACCGAAAUCAAGGUCUUUUAUAUAAUUGGUUGGAUAACUACUUUUCAGGAUUCUUGCCGGAGGAGACGAACUUUUAUGGAUUCUUGCUGGAGGAGAUGAACUUUUAUGCUGUGUUUUUUCCCCUGUAUGUGUCGCUUCAGAUCAGGCUGAUGCUGUUGUUAUUAUAGAGGAGCUGUUGAAGGCCAAGGUUUUCUUUGUGAGAAUGCCAUAGUUACAAGAAAAGAUUGCCUGAAAGGUCUUUAUGGUUUAUUCUGCAAGGUUAGAGGCCUGCUGAGGCUAGCGUGAGGUCUGCUAUGGCAUCGAUGAUCUGGGUGUCAUGACUGUGAAGCCUGCUCACGCCUCUCCGCUCAUAAACCGUGUGACAGAGUAAAUACUCUGGUCCACAACAAUUAGACCUUCCUCCCUCUCAGCUAUGGUGCCACAGAGUGCCCAGGCAGCAGGAAGCACACAUAAAACCAUCGAUGCUCCUUUCCGUAGGAGAAAUAAGUGAACGGAUAAUCUUUUCAUCUUUGUAUAAAUUCAGAUGUGAUUAGCCAGGUCCAGAAGAUUUGGUCUACUUCUCACUAAAUCCCAUCUGUUCUUCAGAAAAUACUUUUUCUUUGAGUUCAGAUGCGAUUAGCCUUCAUGAUGCAUGGAUGCAAAUUUGGACAGUUGGAUUCUUGAUGUGCAGAUAAAUACAUUGAGAAGAUGGAACUAGAAUUAAACUUCCGUCCAACUGCAGGUUAGUAUAUGCCUUAUAUGUUCUAUGGAAUUCCGCUUUCUCAUUAGAACAGCCAGAAGUGUAAAAUUACUGAAGUUUGAAUGUUAAUCCAGCUUAAUACUUGGGGCCUCUGAUAUAGUGAUAUAUGCAUCAAAAUCAUAGAUUUUUAUUAUUGCAAAUUGUUGGUGACUACUGAUCAUCCUUAUUAUUUUUUAUUCAUACGGUUCACGGGGCAAUGAGUACGAGAUCUGUUCGUGGGUGUCAUGUCAAGGUUAGAGUGGUUCUGCAACUAUUUUCAUCUGAAAAGAUAUACCUUGCAGCAUCCUGUAUGAUACGUAUAUGCUUGCAGAGGCGUCCAAGCUGUCGAGCAAUGUAGGGAUCUAUGGCGGGCAAGACCAAAGUGCUGCAGCCGCACGAGGGGGGCCCAAGGCCAAGCCUACACUAGCAGCGGCGAUGACGGAGGCGGAGGCGAAGGAGCUCCCCAAGGCCAUCACGUGGCAGCUGGUCCAGGACAAGCUCGCCUGGGUUGCCGUGGCUGGCGCCGGCGAAGGAGGAGGGUGGAGGUGUGGUGGACAAGGACGCCAUGGCCGCCUUCGCCACAGUGCCAACAUCUUCAUCCACUGCCUCUCUGCCACUUCAGAAUAAUAGUUGACGUUUUCACCAUAAAUCUGCGUACUGCAGCAUUUUUAUAGAUACUCUAUGUAAAUAAAAUCUUUUUUUCUUUAAGGGUUCAUAUAUAACUCUGUUA